AAUAAGGUAAGCUAAAUUUAAGCUAUUGGGCUCAUGCCCCAAAAAUGAUUGAUUCUCUUAUUA
rnacentral:tRNA from 1 species